rnacentral:lncRNA from 1 species
UCUGUUCUUCCACAGGAAACUCUGACAGUUCUAAUCGAAGAAUUCAUCGUGUCUCGAUGAUCAGAACUCACACAGCCCAGUGAUUCAGCGACAACAGGGAAAUCAUGAGUGAUCAGCUCCACGGCACCAUUCUGAAUAAAUGUGGAAGCUUGUUGAGGUCAAAGCCAUCACUGCCCAGUUGUUUUCCAGAUAAACCAGAGAAACAGUGGACAUCUGGCAACGCAAUCUGCACUUUGAGCCCCCUUCACGAAGACUUUCCUGCACCGCUGCGUCUGUACUUGGCACAGGUAUGUCUAACGACUGU